GACGAACGCUGGCGGCAUGCCUAAUACAUGCAAGUCGAGCGAGGCGGCGGAUGGGUGAGUAACGCGUGGGUAACCUGCCCGUAAGACUGGGAUACCAUUUGUAAACAGCUGCAAAUACCGGAUACUAACGGAUGGACCGGCGAUGCAUUAGCUAGAUGGUAAGGUAACGGCUUACCAAGGCGAUGAUGCAUAGCCGAGUUGAGAGACUGAUCGGCCACAGUGGGACUGAGACACGGCCCAAACUCCUACGGGAGGCAGCAGUAGUGAAUCUUCCACAAUGGACGAAAGUCUGAUGGAGCAACGCCGCGUGAGGGAAGAAGGUUUUCGGAUCGUAAAGCUCUGUUGUUGGGGAAGCGGUAAUCAACCAGAAAGUCACGGCUAACUACGUGCCAGCAGCCGCGGUAAUAC
rnacentral:rRNA from 1 species